rnacentral:misc_RNA from 1 species
AAGGAAACUACACCUGAAAAUCCUCAUUUGCAAGAUCAGCAGUUGGAUAUAGAACACUCUGAAGCUUUGCAAGCUCAGAAUUCAGCCUCUAAAUCACCAACAUUGUCAUUGUCUGACUCUGACGAGAGUGGAGGUCCAAAGCAAAAUACUGUAUCAAAAGCUACUGACCAUGAGAUGGCUGCAACAGCACCUGAGAUUCAUGAUUCAAGCAAAAUGAAAAACAGAAAACAGGUUGACCGUUCU